rnacentral:rRNA from 1 species
AUUGAACGCUGGCGGCAGGCUUAACACAUGCAAGUCGAGCGGGGGAAGGUAGCUUGCUACUGGACCUAGCGGCGGACGGGUGAGUAAUGCUUAGGAAUCUGCCUAUUAGUGGGGGACAACAUCUCGAAAGGGAUGCUAAUACCGCAUACGUCCUACGGGAGAAAGCAGGGGAUCUUCGGAACUUGCGCUAAUAGAUGAGCCUAAGUCGGAUUAGCUAGUUGGUGGGGUAAAGGCCUACCAAGGCGACGAUCUGUAGCGGGUAUGAGAGGAUGAUCCGCCACACUGGGCCUGAGACACGGCCCAGAAGCGUCCGGGAGGCAGGAGUGGGGAAUAUUGGACAAUGGGGGGAACCCUGAUCCAGCCAUGCCGCGUGUGUGAAGAAGGCCUUAUGGUUGUAAAGCACUUUAAGCGAGGAGGAGGCUACUCUAGUUAAUACCUAGGGAUAGUGGACGUUACUCGCAGAAUAAGCACCGGCUAACUCUGUGCCAGCCGCCGCAGUAA